GAUGAACGCUGGCGGCGUGCCUAAUACAUGCAAGUCGAGCGAACAGACGAGGAGCUUGCUCCUCUGACGUUAGCGGCGGACGGGUGAGUAACACGUGGAUAACCUACCUAUAAGACUGGGAUAACUUCGGGAAACCGGAGCUAAUACCGGAUAAUAUAUUGAACCGCAUGGUUCAAUAGUGAAAGACGGUUUUGCUGUCACUUAUAGAUGGAUCCGCGCCGCAUUAGCUAGUUGGUAAGGUAACGGCUUACUAAGGCAACGAUGCGUAGCCGACCUGAGAGGGUGAUCGGCCACACUGGAACUGAGACACGGUCCAGACUCCUACGGGAGGCAGCAGUAGCGAAUCUUCCGCAAUGGGCGAAAGCCUGACGGAGCAACGCCGCGUGAGUGAUGAAGGUCUUCGAAUCGAAAAACUCUGUUAUUAGGGAAGAACAAAUGUGUAAGUAACUAUGCACGUCUUGACGGUACCUAAUCAGAAAGCCACGGCUAACUACGUG
rnacentral:rRNA from 1 species